GAUGAAGAACGUAGCGAAAUGCGAUAAGUAAUGUGAAUUGCAGAAUUCAGUGAAUCAUCGAAUCUUUGAACGCACAUUGCGCCCGCCAGUAUUCUGGCGGGCAUGCCUGCUCGAGCGUCAUUUCAACCAUCAAGCCCCGGGCUUGUGUUGGGGACCUGCGGCUGCCGCAGGCCCUGAAAUGCAGUGGCGGGCUCGCUGUCACUCCGAGCGUAGUAGUUACAUCUCGCUCUGGGCGUGCUGCGGGUUCCGGCCGUUAAAAGCCUUAUUUACCCAAGGUUGACCUCGGAUCAGGUAGGAAGACCCGCUGAACUUAAGCAUAUCAAUAAGCGGAGGA
rnacentral:misc_RNA from 1 species